AAUGCGCCAAUCUCUUUAUCUAUGUCGGUAAGGGCGAUAUAACCAUUCUUUUCCCUCCUCUUGACGGCCAAAAAGCAAGACCUUGCGUAGAUCACCAGUAAAAAACAUGCCGUGGGAACAACGACCAGUAUCCAUAACCGGCGAGGUUCAUCUACGUCGUCCAAAUCCGAAGUGAACUCCCAUGAAUUGACGCUGUGUCUCUCUGGAUCGCGGCCGAAAGAAGCUGAGAACCCGAUCGCUGCAAAUUCAGGAAGGACUCUUGCCAGAUCAACAAGGUAAGAAAGCGAGUGAUGGGCCUUGCCGUCGAACGACCAGAACACGCUGAGGUUCUUGCUCACAGAAUUGUAGGUCACGUUAACAUUGACCGCUUUCCCGCUGUGCGAUCCGGGAUCCCAGCGGGCAUAAAUGAGCGACGAGAGACUGUUCUGAUUGAUUCCUAUGUGAUGCACUGGAGGAUCAAACUCCCAGUUCACAUAGGUGUCGAACUCGACCAUAACGAUCUGGUUCCGAGGCCCCUCAUUAGCCGUGGUACCGUUGAACAAUCCCAGGAAUUGUCCAGGUGAGUUGGGUGGGAUCGGGAUCCCGACAGGAGCGAGGAAGAAGGCGAUGCCAUCACUGUACUGAGCAGAGCCGUCAGUCUCGAUGGUGAACGAGAAACAGGUUGAGAAGUUCGCUUGGCGCCUCGUGACAGGAUCCCCUAUGCGGACAGGCUUGGCGUACUUAAUCCGCCCAAUUUGGUAGCCAUGCUCAGGAUGGAGGCGGGUGAGAUCGACAUGUCCAUACGUGACCUCCGAAACUCCCUCGUACAAUAUGUCCCCCCUAUCCGUGUCGAAGCUGCUUAUGUUGAAGUAGAGAGGGGCAACACAGGGGAUCAAAGGACAGCAGACAAGGCAGAACAAGAACAAGCGAGCUUGCAAAGAAAGAGAACGGGGAGUCGCGCGCGGCAUACUUAAGACGGGCUUUGGUGGGAAUUGGAUCACCGAAACUGCGAGAUCUAUAGGUUACAUUAGGGAGCUUUAAAAUGAACCCGAGCGUACCUAAUGGCUUACCGGACACGGCGAGCAAUCAUAGAUCAAGCAGCUUCUAUGAUAGCUCCUUAUUUUCUGCUAAAGUCAGAUGGAAUAGGUUAUUAAACUUCUGGUGGGUACCAUUGCUAUCUUCCGAGCACGAAAUGUCAACACGGUUUUCCCUAUCGCUCCAGCUAUUGCGCAAUUGGUGGAAAAAUUUGCGAGUGUUUGGAAGAGCCUUGGACAAAGACCAUGGAGAUGGAAACUGACUGAUCGAUAGUGACUGGCUGCCGGUGAUAUGAAGCUAGAGAACGAGCCAGCUGCUUUGCUGGGGGAGCUUGUGUGGUUCACCAUUUUUACAGACAUUAUCAAACCACUCAAAGUCUCUGUCCACAAUUGUGGAGGAAAGGAGAGCAAGCUUUGGUCAAAGGAAGAGACUUAAAUGAGGGUUGAGAGUCCAUUGCUCGAAAGCCAUUGAUUAUGAUGAUGAUCGAAUUAUCUUAUUCGUCAACUAUGUGUGCCAAAUCUUUCCUACAAGUUGUAUUUGAGAACUACUUUCAUGUUAUCGAAGCACAAGAGCCAUGGUCAAGUUCAAUCAAACUCUUGUAGACCCUCAUUUCACAGCUUGUCCAGCCCAUCGAGAACAUUACAGGCCUAUUUGGUUCUUGAGAUAGUUUCAUUCGACGAAACUGUGUCGUAGGUUGUAUUUUGAAAGUUCACAUGGAUGUAGAAUCUUGUGUGAUAGGGCAAGAUAAAAUCAUUUUGCAAAAUCUUGGUCUUAAGAAUCCAAGAUAAAAAAUGUUAUGCAAUUGACAUAGCAUGUCCUUAGUGACUAACACUAAACUCCUGAUGACCCAAGUAUUAGUGGGGGCAAUUGCUGCAUACCCAAAUGCAUUAGACCCCAUGCAUGCAAUACGUCGGAUAAUUUGAGUCUCACUAGGAAUUCGUAAGAUCCGAGAAAUCUUGUUUACUGGAUCUAUAUUUUCUGGCUGCGGCCAAUAAUUUUCUGUACCAAUGGCCCCCACAUGCCCUUUUGAGUUUGCUCCCGCACUAUCAUGGUUGAGAUUUCGUGGUUUAAGCUUCACAAUGAACCUCAAAAGUUACUGUCCUUCCUUGUUCAAAGGUGCGUGAUGAAACGAAUUUAUCGCGCUUGUGAUGGGAAACGGUCAGACACUUGAAGAGUCCCAAACAAUCCAUUCCUCACGAAACAAAAUUGUAAUGAAAAAGAUCUUUGGGUGAAAACAAUUGAAAACGUCCCAUUUAUUAUUUUCACUCUUUCCACGAGGACCCGGCCAAAAUCAGAACAUGGUUUUGACAAAAAUGAAACUAUAGUUCUCGGUUAGAAAACAUGUUUUUUUUUCUUUUCUAAUCAAACACAAUAAUUACGAAUAUACAAAAGUAAAAACUAAAAUUAUUCUCAUUUUCAUAGGCAUAUUUUGAGAAAUCACGUGCGGUCUAUAUAGAAAAUUAAAGCAGUGACUGAUGUUGAAUCUGCCUUGAUCUUAGCUAUUGGGCCUUAAUGGAACUUAUUACAAAAAACCCAUUGUCCAGUUGAACCAAAGGUUAUAGAUGCUAUAACAAAACUUCGUAAGAAAAUAACUAGAGAAAUCUAUGAAGAUCGAAUUAGGUCUCAAGAAGAAAAUUGGUCUACGAACCACAAGAAAAGUGGAAAUGAAAGCAAUGUAGUUUCGAGUGAAUGGAUACUCCAAGAUAGAACAAGAAAAGUUGAAUCCGAUUAAUUCAACUUCUAUGAUUUUGGAAUAAUUAGAAAAUUACAAAAAACGAAACUAUUCAUUUUGAGCAACAAAGUUCGAUUUAAUCAAAUUUGACAACAGGUUUUCUAACAAGUCUUAUAAGGAGCUUUUGGAACUCUGAAUAGUUGGUUGAAUAACGAGUUACAUUACUUGCCCUGCCCUCGACUGUCUGGCGGGAUCUGGGUGCACGCACCAUAGCCCCACCAUCAUCAAGCACUUCAUCUCCUCCUAUGGGAACUCCGAGUGCAACACCUCGUCAACCGCGCGCCGAGGACGUUGCCAGCAAGGUAUAGUUGCCAGACCCACUCGUGCAAUGAGACCUGGAUCUCUAUUCUCAUAGCUCCUCUGGCCAUGACGCCAAAGCUAAACAUGUCGGACUCCGGGUUGGCCUUCCCUCCAAUAAAGUACUUUGGCGCUAGAUACCCACAAGUCCCAACCACGUCUGCCGUCUGAGUCCUGAACCGGGGGUCGACAAGCUUGGCCACUCCAAAGUCGGCAAGCUUGGUGCUGAAGUUGGAGUCGAGUAGUACAUGGGCUGCCUUUAUGUCCUGGUGGAGCACAUAUUGCUCGAGAUCAUCGUGGAGACAGUUGUGGGCAGAUGCGAGGCCGAGUGCCACCUUGUACCACACGUCUCAGGGCAGGCUUCUCCGGGCCCCAAAGGGGUGAUUGAGGCUGCCAUUGGGCAUAUACUCAUAGAUAGCUAAGUUCACUCCUAUGUGGAGGAAGCUCAAUGAGUUGCAAGCCCAAAAAAGGUUUGAGCUCAUAUAAUAAGUUAUAUGGAGAAAUAGGUUUCUUACUAUCAAAAAGUGGUAGCCACAAAAAGACACGGUAACAAGAAAAAAGAGAGAAAGCAGAAAAUCUGAGAGUUGAGGCAAUAUCUGAUUUACAUUAAGCUGGCAUCAGAGGUCGAUUCAUGGUCCGAUUGAGCUGAAAUUUUGUUAGCAUGUCGUGGCUCAAUCUGGAAUCUGAACGAUUUGAUUUUCAUUUGAAGCUGCCUCCAUCAGGUUUUUCAUGGAUUGAUCAAAACAUGCGUUUUUGGUCAGAUUUAUUCUUUGAUUUCUUGUGAAAUUCAUGUGUAUUGCCAAGAAUUAUGUUCUUGAGGUUUUUGCUACUAUAUGUACCUCUAGUAUUUGCUAGAGAAUAACAUUGUUCACCCAAUUUUGUUGAUAGUGAAGAUUUUCCGGUGGACCCUUUUUUUAUCUCCUCACAUCGAGGAGGUUUUUCACAUAAAAAAAUUGUCUUCUAUUCACGUGCUUGGUAUUUAUUUUACUUUACUAUAUCGAUUCUUAUUAAGUUUACACAAGAUGAGAGAUUAUUUUAUUCUGCCGCGUUAAUUCGAUAUUGUUUGAAUUGUUACCAUUCUCCGAUCAAGAACGGCACAAGGUUUCCGUGAAUCGUGCGGCUUACGAUCUUCACCUCAUUGACGAGAACCUUUGCAUUGGGAUUCCGUGAAGAUCGUUUUGACAGCAACCAAGCAGCCUGAAUGGCUCAAGAACCCUUUAUAGAUUUGGCCAGACUCACCUCGGCCAAGCCUUCGAAUGCACCGAUAAAUUGUUUUUUGGGGGGGGGCGACAAAAAUUUUUAUUCAAAAUUUCUUCACCCCAAAAAAAACACGCCCCCGGGGGCCCCCCCCAAAAAAAAGUGGGGGGGGACCCCCCCCCCUUAAUUUUAAGGGGGGGGAUGGGUGGGCCCCCCCCCCCCCCCCCCCCCCCCCCCCCCCGCAACAACCUUCGGCGCCGAUUUAUCCAUCGAUGGUGGCAGAUCUACCACGUCCAAAUCUGAAGUGAAUUUCCAUGAAUUGAUUCUGUGUCUCUCCACAUAGAAGCCGAAUGAAGCUGAAAACCCGAUCGCAACUGAUUCGGGAAGGACACUCGCAAGAUCAAUUUAGCAAGAAAGUGAGGAAUGGCCCUUAUCCUGGAAAGCCCGUUUGUCCUCAAAUGACCAGGACACUCUGAGGUUCUUGCUCGUGGAAUUGUAGACCACCAGAACAUCGGUCGCCGCUGUGCAGGCUGGGAUCCCAGCCAGUAUAAACAACCGAUGAGAGCCCGUUCUUAUUGAUUCCAAUGUGAUGCACUGGGGGAUCGAACUCUGGGUUCACGUAAGUGUUGAACUCGACCAUGACAAUCCGGUUUCGAGGCCCUUCACUGGCCAUGCUUGCAUUGAAUAAUCCCAGGAAUCCACCACCCGAGUUGGGCAGGAUCGGCAUGCCGGCGGGAGCAAGGAAAAAGGCGAUGCCAUCAUCAUACAGCCCAGAGCUGUCGUUGUCAAUAGCGAACGGAAAACGGGUCGUCGUUGUCAAUAGUGAACAAAAAACGGAUCGAGAAGUCCGCUUGCCACCCCGUGAGAGGAUCCCAUACGGGGACAGGCUUGGCAUGCUGGAUCCGGCCCACCUGGAAAUUUGGUGGAGUAUUGCAUUUGGUGAGAUCGACAUACCCUGCUCGGCAUACUAGAGACGGGCUUUGGUCAGAAUCGGAUCAACUGAACCGCAAGAUCGCUACAUCACAUUUGAGUGCUCUACAAGGAUGGUGAGUAUACCUGGCGGACCUAAUACGACGAGCGUUCAUAGAUCAAGCAACUUCGAUGAUGGUUCGUUGUUUUCUAAAAAAGUAAAUGGAGCAAAUUCGUCACGAUGAGAAUCAGUCUUGAGGUGGGUAUCAUUGCUAUCUUCCAAAUAAGUGAUGGAGCAUUGUCAAACUUGGGGUAGGCGUCACUUGGGCGUGUCCCAUUACUGGACCAUCCACGACCCAGAGGCUUGACUCUUGAGCUAAUUUCUUGUACCAUCACUUGCGCGUCCUAUUGAGAGCUGUACUAUCCAAUUUAAGACGGUAUGACUAGAAUCUAUUGCCGCUGAUAUUUGUCAACUGGGGAAAAUUUGCAGGUGUUCUAGAGAGCCGCGGAUGAAGACCGUGGAGAUGGAAACUGACCGAUUGAUCUCCCGAGUUGACUGGCUUUCGAUAAUACAACGGGAGCGAGCGAGCGACCGCGGAUCGGUGUUUUUGCAUUCGCCAGGAGAGCUUCUGCGGUUCACCUCUUUAACAGAAAUUAUCAGACCGGUCGACGUGUCUGUCUACAAGUGUGUAGGAAAGGAGCGCAUGCUAUUGUUAGAUGAGCUGCGAUUUGCAGGGACGUGAAGAGCGGUUGAUAGUCCAUUGCUUCGAAGCCACUGAUUAUGACGAACACUACGAACCCAAAAAACAAAAAGAAGAGCCGAAGAUAGUUUUCUAGCUGCAUCAUCAUUAUGCCACGUCACUGUGCACGUCGUCAAUGCCAUGUCAUCAUGCCACGUCAUUAAUACCAUGUCGUCAUGUGUGCCAUGCCAUCGCCAUGUCAUCGAAAUAUGCCAUGUCAUUGCUUGCAUGUCAUUGAUUGAUUGUAUGUUAGGUUCAUAAAAUUGUAUGCCAUGCUAGAAUAGUGCCAUAAAAUUGAUUACCGCAAGCCACAUUGGAAUAGACAUACUUAGUACGUCGUCGUGUUUAGAGUACUUGCAUUACAUAUAUUACAUACAUUACAUUUUAGCGUUAGCUUUCACUAGAUAAGAGAAAACCUUAAAAAGGAUUUGAGUAGAAUUGUCUGUUAAUUAGAAAUCAUAUUUAUGUUGUUAAGAAUGUAAUUAUCUAAUAAAAUUUACAGUUGCUUACGUUACUUCAAGGUAAGUAAAUCUAUUCCUUACCCUUGCAAUCUAUUCAUCACUUUAAGUAUAUAAUGUUUCAUUAAUGGUCGUGUCACGCCCCGAUCUUCAAACGCGCACAUCUUUCUACUUGGUCAAUUUAUGAAUGCGAUAUCCCAAGACUAUGUAUCGCCGACCCUUUGCUUUUAUUAAGUACAUGCGGAAGCAAUUAUAAAUCCUCAGACAAUAAAACAAUGGGAUAAGAAAGCAAGCCAUAUUUUUCAUAUUGAAAUUCACAACCACACUUUUAUUAACAACACAACUCAUAGUACAUUUACAAUACUAUUCAUAUGUAACAUCCCGAUUUUCCAAGUCUAUUUUCAAUAAAUUGAGACGGGCAUUUCGUUGGCACGUAUAUAGUUCUUUUCCUUGAGUCGGCCACUCAUGUGAAAGCUAGUCUAUCGGGUGAAGCUGUUAAGAGUUUAUAAUGCAUCAGACUCGAGAAUUUGAUCAGGAAACGACCUUUCGACCGAGCUAAUCUGCAAGGGUCAUUACGGCACAAUUAAAGAUCGAUUAGAGAUCGGAGAUAGGACGACUCGACAGAGGCAUGUGAUCAGGUGUGGGUGAUUCCACUAGAUCACACAAUUCUUGUUGAUCGGCACUGGACCGACUUUUCUAUCGAUUGGGUACCCUGUGUUCGUAUUUGAAACCUUGAGAUUACCCCGACAACCGAAAGUCGCCAAUGUUUCAAAGAUGUACAUUGUGGCUUGAGAUGAUCAACCACAGGUCAAAUGCAUGAAAGUUUCUAAAGGCUACCCGGUAGGUUGGGCUGCGCUAGUAUUGUGCCAAAGUGAAAUUAACCGUGGAAUUGAGAUCGAAUUCAGAAAUUGGAGGUCUGGGUAUGUCACAAAUCAUUUUAGGAACAUUGACUAAUCUUUGGAAAGAUUUUUCAUGCAAACCGAGUUUUUCAGCAAAAUAAUCAGAGAAUGGCUAAUUUGGCUCGAGAAAUUAGUAGGCGCAUCUUUGGUAACGUUUUUGGGACUUAGGUUGGUUCUAUGGACAAGUGAAGAUGUGAAUUAAAGUGNNNNNNNNNNNNNNNNNNNNNNNNNNNNNNNNNNNNNNNNNNNNNNNNNNNNNNNNNNNNNNNNNNNNNNNNNNNNNNNNNNNNNNNNNNNNNNNNNNNNNNNNNNNNNNNNNNNNNNNNNNNNNNNNNNNNNNNNNNNNNNNNNNNNNNNNNNNNNNNNNNNNNNNNNNNNNNNNNNNNNNNNNNNNNNNNNNNNNNNNNNNNNNNNNNNNNNNNNNNNNNNNNNNNNNNNNNNNNNNNNNNNNNNNNNNNNNNNNNNNNNNNNNNNNNNNNNNNNNNNNNNNNNNNNNNNNNNNNNNNNNNNNNNNNNNNNNNNNNNNNNNNNNNNNNNNNGAAGCCGCCGGACCUCACGCCCUUGCCCGUCAGCUGUCGUCGCCGCCGCCUGUGCCGCCCGCGCUCGUUUACCGGUCAGCUCCCCUCCCCGUUCCGCCUCAGCCCGCGUCCCCAGCAGAUUUGAGAACCCCGAACCAGCAAGCCGAAGACCAGUUGAAGCCAGCAGCUCCACUCGUCGCCGGAGCUCACCGCCGCCGCCGUCGUCCGUGCGCAAAGCUCGCGCGCCCGCGUGUCACCUCGCUGGACAGCCGUCGCGCGCUGCUCCGCCCUGCUCGCCCGGUCCCGAGCUCCUUCCCCUCCGUCUAGCCGUCGUCGCCGUCGCUAGGGUCGCCGUCAGCCUCGUCGGAGCUUCGCCCGAGCUGCCGCCCCUCUUCUCCGCCGUUCCUCCGCCCAUCUCGGCGCCGGAUCUGCUCCCUCUCGGCCCCAAGCAGAAUCUGGAAAAAUGGGUAUGGCAGCGGGUGUUUGGCCCGUUUUGGCCGUCUUCCCGAGCCCGGAUGCUCGGCCCGCUUUGAGGAAAGUUGAUCCUCGCGUCGUCCCCGUCGUUUUGGUCUGCUCGGCUCGCUAAUCCGGUGAGUUUAACUCACUAAAUCUUGAUUAGACGGUUAAUUAUGCCCUAAGUGUGCUUAGUCUAAGUUAAGCAAGUUUAUGUGGAUAUUUGAGUUUAUUUAAUUGUGAUUUGGGUUAAAAGGUUUGGUUUAAUUUAAAGGGUAUUUAAUUAAAGGUUAAGAUAGUUUAUUUAAUAAUAAACCUUGAUGGGACAUAAUAGGGUUUUAAUUUUGAAUUAUUUAAUUGCUUCGAAAUUCUGGAAAUUUAUAAUAUUAUAUUAAUUCCGAAAUUAUUAAAAUAUUAUUAUAAAAAAAAAGGAAAAUUUAUUUUUGAUCCCGGUUGUUCAGAAUUUCGUGCCGGUCGUUGCUGUGUAGUCGGAUUUUGAAAUUGAUGAUUGGAUAUUAUAAAUUGAGCGUGGAUCUUGAAAAAUAUGAAUAUUAUUAUUUAAUUAUUUUCGGAAUAAAUUUAAUUAUUUAAUAAAUUCCGAAAAUUUUGUCAAGACCCUAAACUCUCAGAAUUUCGUGCCGAUUGCUGCUGUGCAUUUAGAAUUUGAUAUUGAUGAUUGGUUGUGAUGAAUUGAGUGUGAUUGCGAUUUAUAGGGAUUCUUUAUGAAAUCCUAAGUGUAGAAAUUGAUGGGAGAUUGGCUGUGAUUGACCACCUAUUAGAGGUCGUGCCCAGUGAGGCCGUGAAAUACCACCUAGGAAAGAUCGUGCCCGAUGAGGCCGUGAAAUACCACCUAGGAAAGGUCGUGCCCGAUGAGGCCGUGAAAUACCACCUAGGAAAGGUCGUGCCCGAUGAGGCCGUGAAAAACCACCUACGAGAAGUUGUGCCCGAUGAGGCCGUGAAAUACCACCUACAAGAGAUCGUGCCCGAUGAGGCCGUGAAAUACCACCUACAAGAGGUUGUGCCCGAUGAGGCCGUGAAAUACCACCUAUUAGAGGUCGUGCCCAGUGAGGCCGUGAUAAACCACCUAUGAGAGGUCGUGCCCAGUGAGGUCGUGAUAAACCACCUAUGAGAGGUCGUGCCCGAUGAGGCCGUGAUAAACCACCUAUGAGAGGUCGUGCCCGAUGAGGCCGUGAUAUGCCACCUAUUAAAGGUCGCGCCCAGUGGGGCCGUGAAUUGCCACCUGUUAAAGGUCGUGCCGAGUGGGGCCGUGAUGCCAUUGAUUUAAAUUUGCCGAGUAGGGCCGUAGUUGAGAGCAAUGAUUGAUUUGCUAGAAUGACAUGUAAUCGGCCGAGUCGAUUGAUCGCUGAGACGAUCCAAGUGGUUGAAUGGUUUGAUAAUGUGAUUGUGCCAUGGUUGUUUGGUUAUCAUAAUUGCAUGUGGUUGGUUCACAUAAAUUGUGCUAACCUGCAGAUAAAGGCUGAGGCGAGGUAAGUCCUCUGUGUGAUGUGGCUAGGCCACCCGGGGCGUAUUUUCUUUCUAAUAGGGGUUUAGGGGGUUGAACUUGCUGAGACAUCGUCUCAUCCCAGUUGUGGGAUUAAAAUUUUAGGUCCCUGGUGGACGGAGCAACCAGAUAGCUUUGGUUGGCCUUGAGGAGUUGCAGAGGUGAAGUCAUAAGGAUUGGAGAGCAUGCCCGACUUGUAGGUCGUAGGACAAUUCCUUUUUAAGGGCCGGUCUUUUGUAGACUGUUGGCCGUAGACCUCUGUUUGUAAUUCUGUUGAAUUAUGGAAGUGUUAUGUUGUGAUUUGGUUUCCUGCCUUUCUAUCCCGUAUUUUAUUGUCAGGGGUUUUAUAAUACGUUCCGCUUGCGCAAUAAAGAAAUGAAUGGGGUCGGCGACACUACCUGGGAAGGUCGCUUUUGAUCGACCGCAGUGGGAUGUGCUCGCGCUCGGGGUUCGGGGCGUGACGUCAUAGCUUACUUGUCUCACACCUAUCUAUACUAAGACAGGGUUCACAAAAGGGAUGGGAUCUCAAUCCACAUUCGGGUUAUACUCAAGAUCCCUAUCUGGAUCAUCUGCUCCUUCAAAAGUCUUUCUCCCCUUCAGGUUCCUCCUCCUCAGUUUCUCCUCAGGGUCCUGAAAUGGUUAUUCAAUAACCAAUGAGACCACGUCUCAGCGAAUUCUACUCCCUAAUACCCGAUUAGUAAACUAAUACACCUUAGGCUGCCUAAGCACAUCACAAGUCAGAGGACUUACCUUGGCCUCAGCUCCUUCCUACAAGUUAGUAUAUAUAUCAAAUAUACGUCAUCACAUCACAUCACCCAAUCAGAUCGAAUCGUCGAUCAAUCGAUCUAGUCGAUUAUAUGUCAUCCAAAUUAUCGCUUGAUCGACCCCUUCCAUACUUUCUAUAAGUCUGAUUAACACCCACGACUACUCACCCUAGGUGAUAUAUAGAUAGUAUGUUAUCUUAUCUCCAGACGACAUAUAGAGUCAUCGAGCUAUCAAAUCAUACCGUACUGUCUCAAGAUGAUCUGUAGGAUUAUCGAGCCGGUAAAUCAUACCGUACUGUCUCAAAAUGCUCCGUGGAGUCAUCGAGCCGGUAUACACACAAUUUAUCAUACCGUACCGUCUCCAGAUGCUCCGUAGAGUCAUCGAGCCGGUAGAUCAUACCGUCCUGUCUCAAGAUGCUCCGUGGAGUCAUCGAGCCGGUAUACACACAAUUUAUCAUACCGUACUGUCUCCAGAUGCUCCGUAGAGUCAUCGAGCCGGUAGAUCAUACCGUCCUGUCUCAAGAUGCUCCGUGGAGUCAUCGAGCCGAUAUACAUGUCAUUCCAAGCAAACAAUCAAAUAACCAGUUUUAUCAUUCCCGAUAAAAUGCCAUGAGUGGGUACUCGAUCGGCCCUAAUCAAAAUAUAAUAGUUUCCUUUUUAUAAAUUCCACAAUUUUCUGUAGUCCACUCAGAUCCUUUUGGCAUUAUCAACCGAUGCCUAGUUCUUUUUCAAUUAAUAAUCAAAGAUUAUUCAAUUAAAAAAUAAUUCCUUCUUUCACAAAUAAUUCAAUUCAGCAUGAAAUAGGGCUCAAUUAAAUAAACGGACUGCACACGACAAUCAGCAUAAAAUUCCGGUCACCAGCCAUCCCGGUUGAAUUUCCGGAAAAAUAAAUAAAUAAUUAAUUAAUUUCGAAAAAUAAAAUAGAUAAAUACUAAAAAUCCAAUUUAGGCCCGUAAUACCUGAUUGGAUGCCAAAACGGAUCGGGAAAAAUCCCGAGAUACGUUCAAUAAAUAAUAGAAACUCUCUACUUGCUAAUGACUAAGUCUAACCACCUAACAUGCAUCAUUAAGCCACUAAUUUAAUUGUUCUAGACUAAUCUAACCACCUAAUUGCAUUUAAUUAAAUCUAACCAACCCCUAAGCAUAAUUAGCAAACUAAGAAAGCAUUAGUGAGUAAAAUUCACUUGAGCAAAGCAAAUAUCGGAACACUGCGACGGCGGCCGAAAUCCGAACUUUCGGCGGCGUCAACGGACACUCGGGCCGGGCCCAAAGAUCUUGCCUCGUGGGCUUGGGCUUCAAAAGGACUUGCUGGACUUCACUGGACUGGGCUUGAAUCAAGACUGAACAUGGGCUUCAAAUGGACUGAAGCUUGCUGUGAAUGGGCUUGAACCAGAAAAGAAUCUGCUGGGCCGAAGACUGCUGAAAUCAUGGGCUUCCAAUGGGCUUGCGGCUGAACUCACGAAGGAGCUGGGCAGAGUCUCACAUGGGCCGCAGACUGACUGGAUUCACGGGCCUGCUUCGUGGACUGGAGUUGCCGUGGCUUCAAUUGCAGGGCCGAUCCACGAGCUGGCGAAGAAAGAGACGAAGACGCUGAAGCUGCAGGCGUUGGAUUUGCUGGCAUCGAGCUGCGGACGACGCCGGAUUUGCUCGAGCUGUUUGGGGACGUCUCGUAGAAGCGAGAAGUGGGUUGGCGUGUGUUGUUACGGAAGAUGGGAGCACGCGGACAAAUGGCCGAAGCUGCUGGAGUUGGCCAAGGUUUCGUGGAUGCUGCUCAGUCAAACAUCAAAGCCAGCGAGAGUGUUUUGACCGAGGGAGACCAACGUUAGUGGAGAUGGGCGUUGGUAGCUUCGGUCUUCGUGGGGAGGAGACGCAGGCGCUGCUGUUGGAGGAGAAGACCACGUGGCUGAGAGAGGCGGAGAAGCGGACGAGGGAAGCAGCAACUGCUUCGCUUUGGUGAUGUUGAGCCCGUGAAAUUCGCUGGAUGAGGACUGCACGAAUUCGGGGGAAUCACGGUCAACAAAUCUGUAGAAGCUGAACCCGAAUCUGCUGGACUCACGGCUGAAUUCUCCAGCGUUGUUCGGUUGAGGACACGUGCAGAUGGAGGAGUUUCGGCGGAUGAAGGGCACGUGAGAAGUCAACUUCGGUGGAGGAACUUGUUGGGUUGUUGACUCGGUUUGCUGCGGCAGAAGACCAUAGAUUGUGGGAGAGCAGCUUCGGUCACCGCCUGGGAAAAUCUUGCGACCGUGCUGGCAGUCGAAGGAAAAGAAGCGGACGCGUGGGGAUUUCUUCGGUGGACUUGCUUCGUGGAAUUUUUGGGGCUGCUUCAGUCAACUAAAGCUUCAAUGGUUGACUGGAGAUGGGUGAUUUGCAGACGAGUGGCAGCUUGGCAUGGGAUGAGGCGCGCGAGUGAAGAAUUCUAGCGUGAGUGGUGUCUGCUGGAGGGGAAAAAUGGUGAAGACGGCAGCACAUGGAGGGAGAGAGAACAUGGAACGAAGGCGACGGCCACAGGGGUUGUUCGGUGGAAAUUUUUACUGGAUAAUUUAAACGAAGGAGACAACAGAAGAUGGAGGUCGGCAGCUUGGUCCGCACGAAGGAGGGGAAUAGAUAAGGAUGAGUGCCCCAAAAGUCCACAACUUGGCCUGUUUGGUUCAAUUUUGGGGAAAUGCAAAGUCAUUUCCCCAAGUAUCCUUGACUAAAUGGGCAUUCUCGGAAUGCAAACGUGUUUGGAAGUGUAUAUUUUGCAAAGUAAUUUUCAGGUGAAAAAAAAAGGAAAAAAAGAAAAGAAAAGAAAAUGGAGAAGGAGAUGGAGCUGCGUGAUCGCGGGGGAGCGGCUGGUGGCGGUGGCGCUGGUGGUGGUGGUGGUGGUGAAGCGGUGGUGGUGGCGAUGGUGGGGAGGCAGCUCGCCCGCGGUCGCCGGACCUCAGGCCACCUCGGCUGAGCCCGGCGGCCAGAUCUGGCCCUCUAGUGGCCAAGCGUCGCCCACCGCGAAGAAGAAGACGAACGACGAAGAAGAUGGGCGGGGAAGAAGACGAACGGCGAAGAAGAUGGGCGGUGAAGAAGGCGAUGAACAGUAACUCGAAAUUGCAUCUCCAGAAUGGGAAUGCUCAAACUAGCCCCAACCCAGCAUUGGGGAUGCUGACAAUGGGCAAAUGGGCAUUCAAAAACACAUGCCAAACACAAAAUAUUUUCCCCAAGGGGGAGGGGAAUAGAUAAGGAUGAGUGCCCCAAAAGUCCACAACUUAAUCUCUUCCAUUAAAACCUUGUCCCCUCUAAUUCUUUCUAGAAUAUAAUUUCACCAUUUAUUCCAAAUUAAAGCAAAAAAUGCAGCCCUUAGUCCAAUUCCGAAUUUCCUUAAUUUUUGGCUACAAUUUCUUCAUUUGAUUCUCCAAAUCAACGUCAAAUUUUGCUGAAGAAAAAUCCCGAAUAAUUUUCUAUAAGUCCUUGACACUCAAAGGCUUGGCUUGGAAGUCCAAAUUUCCUUUAAUUGAGUCCAUUCGAAUUUCCGUUAAUUUCCGCGACGUCUGAAUCGAUUUUUCGAAAAAAUCCCAGAAUCUCCGAAAAAUCUUCUAAGACCAAGUCAACGUUCCUAAAAUAGCUCGUGACACCACAGAACUUUCAAUUUCUGAAAUUUGGUUCGAAUUCACGAUUAAUUUCCAUUCGACGCGUUUUUAGUGUGACCUAGACUACCGAGUAACUUUCAGAACUUUUCAGUGCAAAUGACCCGUGGUCGAUUUUCUUCGAGCCACUAUGAACCCACUCGACUCAUUGGCGACUUUCGAUUGUCGUGAAAAUCUCGAGAAUUCAAGUACGGACACAGGGUACCAAAACGAUAAGAAAAUCAGUCUAGUGUUGGUCGACGAGAAUUUUCCAAUUUAGUGGUGUCACCCACGAUUAGCCACACAUCUCAAUUGAACCAACCUGUAUCUGAUCUCAAAUCGAUUUAUAUCUGUACCAUAAUGGUCUCGACAGAUGAGCACGGUCAAGAAGUCGAUUCACGGUCGAAUUCUCAAGUCUAUUUGCCUUAAAAUUCUUAAUGACUUCUCCAAAUAGUCUAGUUAUCUUGAGAGUGAUCAGCUCUAAGAACAACUCUAUAGACGCAUCAAUGAAAUGCCCGAUUUAUUCAAUAGAAAACAAGACUGAAAAUGUAGGAUGUCACAGGUCGUGCACGUGCAUGAUUACCUCGCAUCUUAGUGAAGAGGUUUAAAUUCAAUCCAAGUCCCCUGCCAAAUAUUUUUUGAACAAAAGAGGAAGUUAUCAAAAGGGUAUUGGAGUAUUCAAGCAUAAUCACGUCCCCGAAUCCAUAAUCUAUGGUUCGCAGGGAUAAAGUAUAUCUCCCAAUGCUUUACCUAGGUGUCUACUCAACCCACCAAAAACUAAUUAAUAGUGAUUUCUAAAUAAAAAUCAUUGGCAUAUUAAGAACUUAAAUCUAAGUCUCGAAUCGAUAGGGGCUUGGGAAAGCUCGAGCUAAGUUAAGCUUGUAAAUUCAUAAGCUCAACCCUAGGUGGUUCACUCCGAGGUAGGUCGCGACACACUUUAGUUCCAAAUUUGCUUAUGCAACCCUCCAUCCAAAAAUUCCACUGAUUUCUUUAAAAUUAUCAACAAGAGGAGGUUAAUGUUGUUCCAUACAAAAGUAAGGGUACUAAAGAAAUGUAGGUUCUAAUAAUGACCCUCUAAGCAAUCUUGAUUUGAUGAUUUUGAAGAAACUAAUAGCAAUUUUUGGACGUGCGGAUAGAUGUGGAACUAGCGUGAAAGGUGAUGGUUGUUUUAAUAUAAAAACUAGUUCAGGGCAAAAUUAAGAUUACUCUAAAAUUGGGAGUUUUUUUUUUUUUAAUUUUUAAAUUUAGGGAAUUGGGCUUAUUUGAAAAUGGCAUUUGGAUGGAUAUAAUUGUAAAAUCAAAAUCAUAACAAUCCAUUAUUUUGAAUUAGACCUUUCUGCUUUUCAUCAUACAAUUAUAACCUUAUGCAUCUCCAGGUUCAGAUUAUCAAAGAGAAAAUCGGCCUCAACUAAAUUCAUCAUGUCUUUCUAUAAUUUUUGCAUGUCCUAUUUAAGUGACACGUUGAGUUGAUUUCAUAUGACAUACGUUUAAGUCACGUAAAGAACCUGUCUAGAGUGAUUUUUAUGCUAACUUUUGACUUUGUACUCCAUAUAAAUUUCUGAAACUCACAUGAAAUGAUUGGAAACUUUUCAAAAUAGUUACAUAUCGAUAUUGAUACUUCUACCUUUUCUUGUUAUCUUUGAAAUAUUAGUGCAAAAUCUAUCCGGAAAUGUACGAAUUCCAUUCUACCCUUUCUUGUUAUCUUUGAAUAUUCGUGCAAAAUGUAUCCGGAGAUGGACGAAUUUCAAAUGCUUUUAUCAUAUUUUCUACUUGAGUUCAAGUGAAUUCAGUGCUUCCAGCUUUUAGAUUACGAGAGCUCAGGAAUGUUUUAUUUUCCCUGGAAAAAGAUGCCAUGGACGAUUUCGAAGAUAUUGGCCAUGGCAGCAGUGCCAGAGCAACGAUGGACGAGUUACCUUGUUGGGGACAUCGAUUCUUCGACUUAACCCCAAAAAGGAGCCUACGUUCCUGCGAAGCAGCCUCGCUACAACCCAGACGAGACGUCGAUGUUCCUUGUUGCCCUCGCGAUCUUGAGUCAGGCUUUCGGCAUCCGCUUAUACACCAACUCGACCUAAAUGAAAGUCCUGCUCACUGUGGUGAAUUAGUAGUGUCCAGUGUACUCUUGCAUGCAGCUUUCCGUCUCAUUGAAAUGAGAACCUCCAACUUUUUCAUCUGUAUUCUCUCCGACGUGAUGAACGCACUCGCUUCUUUAUAUCGGUAAUUUGAAGAGAGAUACAAGUAAUUUAACUGAAAAUUUUCUUUUCGUAGUGUUCUGUUUAUGCCGAUGUAAGCAAUGUAUGUUAAGCGAUACCAAGUCCCCCAUGAUGUUCUCAAUUGCAAACAACAAAUUUGGGCAAGGCAAACGAGAUGGUAACCGAACUACAGUUGAUGCAGCAGAAUGUGCAGAUUUUAGUCAGCAAGUGUUGCCGUAUGACUUUAGGAGACAGGAUUUGUCUAGCUUCCUAAACACAGAUUCUUGAAUAGGAGGAGCAGAUGGAGAUUCCAGUAUUCCUAAUUGCGAAGCCGAUGGCCGGUGUGAAACUGGACCGUUGAACGCGUCGUGCGGCAGCUCGGGGACUGAGUCCUCCAGCUGGAGGAACCUGAUCACUUGCCCCGCCUUUGGCCUUCUCGCGGGGUCGGGGUGCACGCACCACAGCCCCACCAUCAUCAGGCACUCCAUUUCAUCCCUCCGGAACCCUGAGCCCAAGGCCUCAUCAGCAGCGCCGAGGAUGUUGCUGGCGCGGUAGAGUUCCCAGACCCACUUGUGCAACGCGACCCAGACCCCUCCGUCCUCAUAGCUCCUCCGGCCGCACGCAAUCUCCAGGGCCACCACGCCGAAGCUGAACAUGUCGGACUCCUUCGUGGCCUUCCCACUAAUGAAGUACUCUGGCGCCAGGUACCCGCAAGUCCCAACCACGUCUGUUGUCUGAGACCUGAACCUGGGGUCAAUGAGCUUGGCCACUCCGAAGUCGCCGAGCUUGGUUGUGAAGUUGGUGUCGAGCAGCACGUUGGCUGCCUUUAUGUCCCGGUGGAGAACCCAUUGCUCGAGCUCCUCGUGGAGGUAGUUAAGGGCGGAUGCCAGGCCAAGCGCCACGCCGUAUCGCACAGCCCACGGCAGGCUUCUCCGGGGCCCAAAGAGGUGGUGGUCGAGGCUGCCAUUGGGCAUGUACUCGUAGACGAGCAAGAACUCACCUUCCUCUUGACACCACCCAACAAACGGCACCAGGUUUCUGUGUAUUGUUCGGCUUAUGAUCUUCACCUCGUUGACAAAGACCUUCUCGGAGUGUCGGGACUCCGCAAAGAUCCUUUUGACGGCGACCAGGCGGUUCGAAUGGCUCAAGAACCCUUUAUAGACUUGGGCAGACCCGCCUCGGCCCAGCCUUCUAUCGUCUGCGAAGCCAUUGGUCGCCGCGAGCAACUCCUGAUAAGUGAACUUCGUAGGCAAUGCGCCAAUCUCUUUAUCUAUGUCGGUAAGGGCGCUAUAACCAUGCUUUUCCCUCCUCUUGACGGCUAAAAAGCAAGAACUUGCGGAGAUCACCAGUAAAAAACAUGUCGUGGGAACAACGACCAGUAUCCAUAACCGGCGAGGUUCAUCUACGUCGUCCAAAUCCGAAGUGAACUCCCAUGAAUUGACGCUGUGUCUCUCUGGAUGUUCGCCGAUAGAAGCUGAGAACCCGAUCACUGCAGAUUCAGGAAGGACUCUUGCCAGAUCAACAAGGCAAGAAAGCGAGUGAUUGG
rnacentral:lncRNA from 1 species